rnacentral:lncRNA from 10 species
GUCUCUGGCAGUUUGGACUUCUCUGAGAUUGCACUGCUGAGCACGUAGCUGCGGCGGUCACAGGAACUCACAUGCCAAAGAACUGGGAAGAAUGUUUUAAAAACCUGGAAAGAACCGGUUUCCUUUUCUGCAGCCUAACAAAUACCUCCUUGAGGGAAGUAGGAAGCUUUCAGAACUCCCUCACUAUCCAGAGGCUUAUCAUUGUGUGAAGGAUCAGAGUUUGUCAAGGCAAAGAGAAUCAAAACUAUUUACUCAGGCUUGGAAUUGAUCAGGUGCUCGGGAGGCUCGGAGCAGGGGAGCGGCGGCUCCUGGACUUUAACCCCCGUGUUUGUGGAAGCAGUGACUAUGAUGAUGAUAGGAGAGCUGGCGCCCUCACGCGCUUGUCACCUGCUGCGGGCAUCAGUGAGCGCUUGCUGCCGCCUCUGAGAUAAGGAGGGCUCUGUAGAAACUCACCUGGGCCACCUCCACUCGGAAGCCCUCCUUUCUUUCCUGCUAGACAAGAAGCGCCUGGAGCAGCCGAGGGAACACACCUGGUGGCAACGCCUGGUUCCCACUUUCGAACCUCAGGAUUGAGAGAGGGAUGAACGCGGGAAGUCUGAGGACACACUCUGUCCUGCCCUUAACUGUGACUGUCCGAGCCACCUAGGGGGACACGUGGGAGGCAGUCCCAGGGAGGCUGUACUAGAGAGGUGCUGCCCCCAACAGAAGCCGGGAGUCCCUGCCUGGGCCCAAGCUCCUGCCAUUCUCUAAGUGAUGCAGAGAGGGCCCCACCGCCGGGAGGGGCUUUCUGGCACAGCUGUUCUCGCCCCUGCACUCUGAAGAAGAGUAGAUACCUAGAUACAAUAUGGGGUCUUGCCAUGUUACCCAGGUUGGUCUCGAACUCCUCGCCUCAAGUGAUCCUCCUGCCUUGGCCUCCCAAAAUGCUGAGAUUACAGACAUGAGCCACUGCACACAGCCAAAGCACUGCAUGGUCGAUGAGAAAGGUAUCUCGCCCUUGGACCUCAGGCUUGCAUACUCUACUGUCCACUCAACACCUGCGACUGAAUGUGUAAUCUGCGUCUCAAAACCAGCCUGCCCCAAAUUGCCCGCUCCACCCCCAGCCACCUGCUCCUCCCCAUGCAAACUCGUCUCUGCUGAUGCAACGCCAUCCUUCCAGUUGCCCUGACCAAAAUCUCCAUCUUCCAAACCCCUGUCUUUCCCUUACAUCCCACAUCUGCUGUAAAAGCAACUCCUGCUGACUCACCCUUCAAAAAUCUAGCCAGAAUCCAACCGUUUCUCACCACCCCGCCACCAUCAGCCUUGUUCUCCCACCCUGGGCAACGGCAGCAGCCUCCUUCCUGGUCUCACCUGGUCUCCCUGCCUCCACCCUUCCACUCAAGUUUCAACUCAGCAGCUAGAAUGCUUGGUGAAAACAUAAAUCUGAGCAUGUCUCUUUCUCUGCCCUGUCACUCAGCAUAAAGGCCCAAGUUAUUAUAGUGGCCAACAGCCUGGGCCCCUUUCCUCCUCUGGCCUCCUCUUCAACCACCUCCCCCUGCUCCCCGGGGUUCCUCUUCCUCCUCCCAGUUUUUCCCUGACAUGCCCUGCCCUCAGAUGCCCACACGGCUCGCCCCUCACUUGUUUCAUUUUUCACUCAAAUGCCACUUCCCUGCAAGGCCUCAGCUGUCCCCCAUUUAGAGUUCUGCACCCCCUUUUCCCCACUCAUUUGUCUUCCAUGGCACUACUGCCAUGAGCACAUGAUGUACUUUGUUUGAUUUCUUUGUUUGAUUUCUUCUCCGUACCAGGGAUUUUUGUCUGUUUUCUUUGUUCCUGUAUCCCCCAGCACCUGGAACAAUGCUUGCCGUAUAGUAGGUGCCUAGUAAAUAUUUAUUCAAUCAAUCCAGCAAGCAGCAUAAGAAUCUCUGCAAUGGACAGCCCCAGAAGGUUGUGAAUCCUCCACUCCCACAGAGAUCAGAUGGUAGGAAGGAGAUCCACUUACUCAUUGCACAAGGACUCCUGGCUGCCUAGCAGGUGCCAGGCACUGUUCUAGGCACCAGGGAUACACCACGAACAAAUAGGACUAAACAAAGCAAAACAGAAGAAACCCUGCACAGGAGCUUACCUGACA